rnacentral:rRNA from 1 species
CCUACGGGUGGCAGCAGUAGGGAAUAUUGCUCAAUGGGGGAAACCCUGAAGCAGCAACGCCGCGUGGAGGAUGAAGGUUUUAGGAUUGUAAACUCCUUUUGUGAGAGAAGAUAAUGACGGUAUCUCACGAAUAAGCACCGGCUAACUCCGUGCCAGCAGCCGCGGUCAUACGGAGGGUGCAAGCGUUACUCGGAAUCACUGGGCGUAAAGAGUGCGCAGGCGGGAUUGUAAGUCAGAUGUGAAAUCCUGUAGCUUAACAACAGAACUGCAUUUGAAACUAUGAUGCUAGAGUGUGGGAGAGGUAGGUGGAAAUCGUGGUGUAGGGGUGAAAUGCGUAGAUAUCAGGAGGAAUACUCAUUGCGAAGGCGGCCUACUGGAACAGUACUGACGCUCAUGCACGAAAGCGUGGGGAGCAAACAGGAUUAGAUACCCUUGUAGUC